rnacentral:rRNA from 1 species
UACGUAGGGGGCAAGCGUUUGUCCGGAAUCAUUGGGCGUAAAGCGCGCGUAGGCGGCCCGGUAAGUCCGCUGUAAAAGUCCAGGGCUCAACCCUGGGAUGCCGGUGGAUACUGUCGGGCUCGAGUCCGGAAGAGGCGAGUGGAAUCCUGGUGUAGCGGUGAAAUGCGCAGAUAUCAGGAGGAACACCAAUGGCGAAGGCAGCUCGCUGGGACGUGACUGACGCUGAGGCACGAAAGCGUGGGGGAGCAAACAGG